ACACAUGUGGUGUAGCGGUAGCUACUCUUGACCUUUGCUUGAGAGGUCACGGGUUCAAAUCCCCUUGGGGACAUGUGUG
rnacentral:tRNA from 7 species